AACGAACGCUGGCGGCAGGCUUAACACAUGCAAGUCGAACGCAUCCUUCGGGGUGAGUGGCAGACGGGUGAGUAACGCGUGGGAACGUGCCCUUCAGUUCGGGAUAACCCAGGGAAACUUGGGCUAAUACCGGAUACGUGCGAGAGCAGAAAGAUUUAUCGCUGAAGGAUCGGCCCGCGUCUGAUUAGCUAGCUGGUGGGGUAAUGGCCCACCAAGGCGACGACCAGUAGCUGGUCUGAGAGGAUGAUCAGCCACAUUGGGACUGAGACACGGCCCAAGCUCCUACCGGUGGCAGCAGUGGGGAAUAUUGGGCAGUGGGCGCACGCCUGUUCCAGCCAUGCCGCGUGAGUGAUGAAGGCCUUAGGGUUGUAAAGCUCUUUCUUCCGGGACGAUAAUGACGGUACCGGAAGAAGAAGCCCCUGCUAACUUCCUGCCAGCAGCCGCAGUAA
rnacentral:rRNA from 1 species